rnacentral:rRNA from 1 species
ACGGAAGGCAGCAGCUAAGAAUAUUCCGCAAUGGACGAAAGUCUGACGGAGCGACGCCGCGUGAACGAUGAAGGUCGGAAGAUUGUAAAGUUCUUUUAUAACUGAGGAAUAAGUAUGGUGAGAGAAACGCCAUAUGGUGACUGUAGGUUAUGAAUAAGCAACGGCUAAUUACGUGCCAGCAGCCGCGGUAACACGUAAGGUGCGAGCGUUGUUCGGAAUCAUUGGGCGUAAAGGGCAUGUAGGCGGUCUGUCAAGCCAGGCGUGAAAGCCAGGGGCUCAACCCCUGAACUGCGCUUGGAACUGGCGGACUGGAGUCGCUGAGGGGGAACCGGAAUUCCUGGUGUAGGGGUGAAAUCUGUAGAUAUCAGGAAGAACACCGAUGGCGAAGGCAGGUUUCCAGCAGACGACUGACGCUGAGGUGCGAAGGUGCGGGGAGCAAACAGGAUUAGAUACCCUGGUA